rnacentral:rRNA from 1 species
AUUGAACGCUGGCGGAAUGCUUUACACAUGCAAGUCGAACGGCAGCACGGACUUCGGUCUGGUGGCGAGUGGCGAACGGGUGAGUAAUGUAUCGGAACGUGCCCAGUCGUGGGGGAUAACGUAGUGAAAAUUACGCUAAUACCGCAUACGAUCUAUGGAUGAAAGCGGGGGAUCGCAAGACCUCGCGCGAUUGGAGCGGCCGAUAUCAGAUUAGGUAGUUGGUGGGGUAAAGGCCCACCAAGCCAACGAUCUGUAGCUGGUCUGAGAGGACGACCAGCCACACUGGAACUGAGACACGGUACAGACUCCUACGGGAGGCAGGAGUGGGGAAUUUUGGACAAUGGGCGAAAGCCUGAUCCAGCCAUUCCGCGUGCAGGAUGAAGGCCCUCGGGUUGUAAACUGCUUUUGUACAGAACGAAAAGGUUUCUACUAAUACUAGGAGCUCAUGACGGUGCCGUAAGAAUAAGCACCGGCUAACUACGUGCCAGCCGCCGCUGUAA